rnacentral:rRNA from 1 species
CAGAGUUCAUGCCUAACGGGUAGACCUCCACCCUUGUGUAUUUAUACUAUGUUGCUUUGGCGAGCUGCCCUGGGCUUAAUUGCCCAGAGCCCCAGGCUUUCGAGCCUGAGAGUCGUUCGCCGGAGGAAAACUAAACCCUGAUAAUUAUUGUCGUCUGAGUACUAUAUAAUAGUUAA